rnacentral:rRNA from 1 species
CAAAGGAAUUGACGGGGGCCCGCACAAGUAGCGGAGCAUGUGGUUUAAUUCGAAGCAACGCGAAGAACCUUACCAGGUCUUGACAUCCCUCGGACCGCUUCAGAGAUGAGGCUUUCUCUUCGGAGACUGAGGUGACAGGUGGUGCAUGGUUGUCGUCAGCUCGUGUCGUGAGAUGUUGGGUUAAGUCCCGCAACGAGCGCAACCCUUGUCUUUAGUUGCCAUCAUUUAGUUGGGCACUCUAGAGAGACUGCCGGUGACAAACCGGAGGAAGGUGGGGAUGACGUCAAAUCAUCAUGCCCCUUAUGACCUGGGCUACACACGUGCUACAAUGGCUAGUACAGAGAGCAGCUAAACCGUGAGGUCAAGCAAAUCUCUUAAAGCUAGUCUCAGUUCGGAUUGCAGGCUGCAACUCGCCUGCAUGAAGUUGGAGUUACUAGUAAUCGCAGAUCAGAAUGCUGCGGUGAAUGCGUUCCCGGGCCUUGUACACACCGCCCGUCACACCACGGGAGUUGGUAAUACCCAAAGUCGCCGGACUAACCUUCGGGAGGUAGGCGCCUAAGGUAGGAUUGAUAACUGGGGUGAAGUCGUAACAAGGUAGCCGUAA